rnacentral:rRNA from 1 species
AUAUCAAUAAGCGGAGGAAAAGAAACCAACAGGGAUUGCCUUAGUAACGGCGAGUGAAGCGGCAACAGCUCAAAUUUGAAAUCUGGCUUCGGCCCGAGUUGUAAUUUGCAGAGGAUGCUUCCGGCGACGUGCCUUCCGAGUCCCCUGGAACGGGGCGCCUGAGAGGGUGAGAGCCCCGUACGGUUGGACGCCGAGCCUGUGUGAAGCUCCUUCGACGAGUCGAGUAGUUUGGGAAUGCUGCUCUAAAUGGGAGGUAAAUUCCUUCUAAAGCUAAAUACCGGCCAGAGACCGAUAGCGCACAAGUAGAGUGAUCGAAAGAUGAAAAGCACUUUGGAAAGAGGGUUAAACAGUACGUGAAAUUGCUGAAAGGGAAGCGCUCGCGACCAGACUCGAGCCGGGCGGAUCAUCCAGCGUUCUCGCUGGUGCACUUCUCCCGGUCCGGGCCAGCAUCGGUUCUAGUGGGGGGACAAAAGCCCGGGAAAUGUAGCUCCCUCCGGGGAGUGUUAUAGUCCCUCGCCUAAUAUCCCCGCCGGGACCGAGGACCGCGCUUUAUGCAAGGAUGCUGGCGUAAUGGUCGCCAGCGACCCGUCUUGAAACACGGACCAAGGAGUCGAACAUUCGUGCGAGUGUUUGGGUGGAAACCCCUCACGCGUAAUGAAAGUGAACGGAGGUGGGAGCCUCGGCGCACCAUCGACCGAUCCUGAAGCUUGUCGGAUGGAUUUGAGUGGGAGCAUGACUGUUCGGACCCGAAAGAUGGUGAACUAUGCCUGCGUAGGGUGAAGCCAGAGGAAACUCUGGUGGAGGCUCGCAGCGGUUCUGACGUGCAAAUCGAUCGUCAAACGUGGGC